GUGGGGAAUAUUGCACAAUGGGGGAAACCCUGAUGCAGCGACGCCGCGUGAGUGAAGAAGUAUUUCGGUACGUAAAGCUCUAUCAGCAAGGAAGAAAAUGACGGUACUUGACUAAGAAGCCCCGGCUAACUACGUGCCAGCAGCCGCGGUAAUACGUAGGGGGCAAGCGUUAUCCGGAUUUACUGGGUGUAAAGGGAGCGUAGACGGUAUGGUUAGUCAGAUGUGAAAGCCCGGGGCUCAACCCCGGGACUGCAUUUGAAACUAUCAGACUAGAGUGCAGGAGAGGUAAGUGGAAUUCCUAGUGUAGCGGUGAAAUGCGUAGAUAUUAGGAGGAACACCAGUGGCGAAGGCGGCUUACUGGACUGUAACUGACGUUGAGGCUCGAAAGCGUGGGGAGCAAACAGGAUUAGAAACCCGUGUAGUCC
rnacentral:rRNA from 1 species